GAAUCAAAGUGCUCGGGUGGCUUUGAAGAGUUUCCAUGGGAGAUGAAAUCAGGUUCUGUGCAGGAGCUGCUCAAGCUGGAGCUGCUGGUGGGACAGGGGCUUGGGCUGCAGACAAAGCCCACCAGGCUGCACGCUGGCAAUCCUGUGCCAGGAAAGCCAACCAGCAGAGGAACCUUUCAGAGGACGAUGUGGAGAUGCCAGAGCUGCUCAAAGGGCACCCUGUGCUUCACAGACCCUCAGGUCCCCAGGACACACAGGGAAAAAUAACUGCAGGUCCCUGUGCAGCCAGCGAGUCUGAAGACAACCUCACCUCCUGGAGGAAAGUGCCCAGGCUGGGUUGUUGUGCUUUGAGAUGUGGGAUGAAGGGUGGACGUGGAGGGACCAGAGACCAUCCCACCGUGGGCUUGAGGACAGGCAGACGGUGCUUGUGUGAUCUGGAGCUCAGCAGCACAGGCUGUGCCUGCCAGCAAGCCCCGGGGAGCACAGAAGGCCUGGGAAGCCAGCCUGCAUGUAGCUGAUUUGUUGUUUGAUAUUUUUCCCUUUCCUGGGUGUUUGUCCUUAAAUAAAUACACAAAAGUUCA